GCCUUAGUGGCGUAAUGGUAGCACGCGCUCCCGGUAAGGGUGGAACGGGGGUUUAACUCCCAUCUGAGGUC